rnacentral:rRNA from 1 species
UAAAAUAUUAUUAAUUAGGUAGUAAAGAAAACUCCGAAACCUAAAGAAUUUGGCGGUGUUUUAAAUAAUUGGAGGAAUCUGUUAAUUAAUUGAUAUUCCACAACAAAUCUUUCCUGGUUUUUGUUUGUAUAUCGUCAUUUAUGGACAAUAUUUAAAAGUAAUGGUCAUGAUUAAUAAAAUUUUCAUAAAUUAGAUCAAGGUGCAGCAUAACGAGGUUAUAAUGGAUUACAAUAUUAAUAAAAUAUUUACGGACAAGAAAGAAAAAACUACUUUGAAGGUGGAUUCAAAAGUAAUUUAAAAAUAAAAUGUUUUUUUGAAUAAUAAUUUAGAACAUGC